rnacentral:misc_RNA from 1 species
AUGCGUCAACACAAGCAAAGCGCAUAUAAAAACUUUUUUUUCGACGUUCAUAAUUUUGUGCGGAGCUGGGGAGCUGGAGCUGCAAAAAACAGCACAAUUCUGUGGAGAAAUUUCGAUGAAAAUUUCUCAAAUUUGAGUGUCGAAUUGUUGUGCAUUUGUGAAACUGCAAGAACAAGAACAACAGAAGAAGAACAAGAAAAACAACAACAAGAAGAAGCAGUUGAAUAGCGCUAAACGCAUCGACUAAAGUACGUGUGUGUGUGCGCUUGUGUGCGUAUGCGUGUGUGUGUGUGCGUGUGUACAGAGUAUCUGCCAGUCGCG